GCGGCGCGCUUAACACAUGCAAGUCGAGCGAUGAAACUUUAACAGAACCCUUCGGGGCGAAGAUAAAGUGGAUUAGCGGCGGACGGGUGAGUAACACGUGAGUAACCUGCCUUAGACAUUGGGAUAGCCUCGGGAAACCGGGAUUAAUACCAAAUAAAAUCAUAAUGACACAUGUCAUAACGAUCAAAACUCCGGUGGUCUAAGAUGGACUCGCGUCCCAUUAGCUAGUUGGUAGAGUAAAAGCCUACCAAGGCGACGAUGGGUAGCCGGCCUGAGAGGGUGAACGGCCACAUUGGAACUGAGAAACGGUCCAAACUUCUACGGGAGGCAGCAGUGGGGAAUAUUGCACAAUGGAGGGAACUCUGAUGCAGCGACGCCGCGUGAACGAAGAAGGCUUUCGAGUCGUAAAGUUCUUUUAUAUGGGAAGAUAAUGACGGUACCAUAAGAAAAAGCCCCGGCUAACUACGUGCCAGCAGCCGCGGUAAUACGUAGGGGGCUAGCGUUGUCCGGAAUCACUGGGCGUAAAGGGUUCGCAGGCGGAAAUGCAAGUCAGAUGUAAAAGGCAGUAGCUUAACUACUGUAAGCAUUUGAAACUGCAUAUCUUGAGAAGAGUAGAGGUAAGUGGAAUUUUUAGUGUAGCGGUGAAAUGCGUAGAUAUUAAAAAGAAUACCGGUGGCGAAGGCGAC
rnacentral:rRNA from 2 species